rnacentral:rRNA from 1 species
UACGAAGGGGGCUAGCGUUGUUCGGAAUUACUGGGCGUAAAGGGCGCGUAGGCGGCUCUGAUCGUCGGAUGUGAAAGGCCUGGGCUCAACCUGGGAAUGGCAUCCGAUACGGCGGGGCUGGAGUGUGGGAGAGGUUGGUGGAAUUCCCAGUGUAGAGGUGAAAUUCGUAGAUAUUGGGAAGAACACCGGUGGCGAAGGCGACUUACUGGAUACAUAUUGACGCUGAGGUGCGAAAGCGUGGGGAGCAAACAGG